rnacentral:misc_RNA from 1 species
GAUGAAGAACGCAGCGAAAUGCGAUACUUGGUGUGAAUUGCAGAAUCCCGUGAACCAUCGGGUCUUUGAACGCAAGUUGCGCCCGAAGCCAUUAGGCCGAGGGCACGCCUGCCUGGGCGUCACACGUCGUUGCCCCCCCAUCUACUCCUUCGGGAUUGCGGGGGGCGGAUGAUGGCCUCCCGUGCGCCUCGCCGCGCGGUUGGCAUAAAUGCCAAGUCCUCGGCGACGCACGCCACGACAAUCGGUGGUUGCGAAACCUCGGUUGCCCGUCGUGUGCGGUCGUCGCGCAUCGAGGGCUCGAAAAAAUUGCCGGGUUCCGGCUCGGCUUUCAACGCGACCCCAGGUCAGGCGGGGUUACCCGCUGAAUUUAAGCAUAUCAAUAAGCGGAGGA